UGGGGUUGUGGCUCAGUGGUAGAGCGCUCACCUAGCAUGUGUGAGGCCCUGGGUUCAAUCCCCAGCACCUCAU
rnacentral:tRNA from 1 species